rnacentral:rRNA from 1 species
UACAGAGGGGGCAAGCGUUGUUCGGAAUUACUGGGCGUAAAGGGCGCGCAGGCGGCUCUGAAAGUCAGAUGUGAAAGCCCCGGGCUUAACCUGGGAAUUGCAUUUGAUACUCUGGAGCUUGAGUGUGGGAGAGGAGAGUGGAAUUCCCAGUGUAGAGGUGAAAUUCGUAGAUAUUGGGAAGAACACCGGUGGCGAAGGCGGCUCUCUGGACCACAACUGACGCUGAGGCGCGAAAGCGUGGGGAGCAAACAGG